GACGAACGCUGGCGGCGUGCCUAACACAUGCAAGUCGAACGAGGUCCAUCCUUCGGGAGAAGACCUAGUGGCGAACGGGUGAGUAACACGUGAGAAACCUGCCCCGAAGACCGGGAUAACCCUCCGAAAGGAGAGCUAAUACCGGAUGCCCCCACCGAGCCGCAUGGCUUGGUGAGGAAAUGGAUUCCGCUUCGGGAGGGUCUCGCGGCCUAUCAGCUAGUUGGUGGGGUAACGGCCCACCAAGGCAUCGACGGGUAGCUGGUCUGAGAGGACGAUCAGCCACACUGGGACUGAGACACGGCCCAGACUCCUACGGGAGGCAGCAGUGGGGAAUCUUGCGCAAUGGGCGAAAGCCUGACGCAGCAACGCCGCGUGGGGGAUGAAGGCUCUCGGGUUGUAAACCCCUUUCAGCAGGGACGAAAUCAGACGGUACCUGCAGAAGAAGCUCCGGCUAACUACGUGCCAGCAGCCGC
rnacentral:rRNA from 1 species